rnacentral:rRNA from 1 species
GAUGAACGCUGGCGGCGUGCCUAAUACAUGCAAGUCGAGCGAACAGACGAGGAGCUUGCUCCUCUGACGUUAGCGGCGGACGGGUGAGUAACACGUGGAUAACCUACCUAUAAGACUGGGAUAACUUCGGGAAACCGGAGCUAAUACCGGAUAAUAUAUUGAACCGCAUGGUUCAAUAGUGAAAGACGGUUUUGCUGUCACUUAUAGAUGGAUCCGCGCCGCAUUAGCUAGUUGGUAAGGUAACGGCUUACCAAGGCAACGAUGCGUAGCCGACCUGAGAGGGGGAUCGGCCACCCUGGAACUGGGACACGGUCCAGACUCCUACGGGAGGCAGCAGUAGGGAAUCUUCCGCAAUGGGCGAAAGCCUGACGGAGCAACGCCGCGUGAGUGAUGAAGGUCUUCGGAUCGUAAAACUCUGUUAUUAGGGAAGAACAAAUGUGUAAGUAACUAUGCACGUCUUGACGGUACCUAAUCAGAAAGCCACGGCUAACUACGUG